rnacentral:rRNA from 1 species
UACAGAGGAUGCAAGCGUUAUCCGGAAUGAUUGGGCGUAAAGCGUCUGUAGGUGGCUUUUUAAGUCCGCCGUCAAAUCCCAGGGCUCAACUCUGGACAGGCGGUGGAAACUACCAAGCUGGAGUACGGUAGGGGCAGAGGGAAUUUCCGGUGGAGCGGUGAAAUGCGUAGAGAUCGGAAGAACACCGGUGGCGAAAGCGUUCUGCUAGACCUGUACUGACACUGAGGGACGAAAGCUAGGGGAGCGAAUGGG